rnacentral:rRNA from 1 species
GGUUAAGCGACUAAGCGUACACGGUGGAUGCCCUGGCAGUCAGAGGCGAUGAAGGGCGUACUAAUCUGCGAUAAGCGCCGGUAAGGUGAUAUGAACCGUUAUAACCGGCGAUACCCGAAUGGGGAAACCCAGUGUGAUUCGUCACACUAUCAUUAACUGAAUCCAUAGGUUAAUGAGGCGAACCGGGGGAACUGAAACAUCUAAGUACCCCGAGGAAAAGAAAUCAACCGAGAUUCCCCCAGUAGCGGCGAGCGAACGGGGAGGAGCCCAGAGCCUGAAUCAGCAUGUGUGUUAGUGGAAGCGUCUGGAAAGGCGCGCGAUACAGGGUGACAGCCCCGUACACAAAAGCGCAUGUGCUGUGAGCUCGAUGAGUAGGGCGGGACACGUGGUAUCCUGUCUGAAUAUGGGGGGACCAUCCUCCAAGGCUAAAUACUCCUGACUGACCGAUAGUGAACCAGUACCGUGAGGGAAAGGCGAAAAGAACCCCGGCGAGGGGAGUGAAAAAGAACCUGAAACCGUGUACGUACAAGCAGUGGGAGCACAGGUUUACCUGUGUGACUGCGUACCUUUUGU